rnacentral:rRNA from 1 species
AGAGUUUGAUCAUGGCUCAGAUUGAACGCUGGCGGCAUGCCAUACACAUGCAAGUCGAACGGCAGCACGGGGGCAACCCUGGUGGCGAGUGGCGAACGGGUGAGUAAUAUAUCGGAACGUGCCCGAUCGUGGGGGAUAACGAAGCGAAAGCUUUGCUAAUACCGCAUACGAUCUACGGAUGAAAGUGGGGGCUCGCAAGACCUCAUGCUCAUGGAGCGGCCGAU